ACUACACUUUAGAACUAUUUUAAAAAUAGUCACAGACUCUGAAAUGUAGAAGAGAGAAAAAGAGAGGAGAAUGCUACUGCAUCUGUCAUGUGGAAGUGAUCAUCAGCUAGAUUGUUCAAAAUGUCUUGAGUCAAGUCCGAUGUGAAGAAUGAAAUGAGAAUGCUGUUAACAUGCUUUUACAGAUUCCUUUCCAGAAUUAAAAGAUCUCUGAGAAGUAUUAAGACUGAAAAUGAAGACCAUCCUACUGAACUGAAGAAAAUAAAGCCAAUGAAUCCCAACUUCCAGGAAUGGAAGAGACCUUCAAGCUCAAGACAGGCCUCAUCCCCAAUUCCAGAAAAUACUGUGCCUCAACUUUUACCCAUAGGCCAAAGACUGUUGGUCCUCAAUGACCGAUCAGAGCAUACCAAAAGGCAUCAGGUAUGAAAUAAAACAUUUCUGUAAAGUAAGUGCCAAAAGACUCUACUUUGCUUUUUUUCUUAACUCAGUGGUUUUCAGAUGUCCUAGUGGCUCAGUCCUAAUCAGUCACGGAGAAAAGCUUUCUGAUUGCUAAAGCUAAGGCAAUCACUCUCUCCUCCUUUUUUUUUUUCACAUUUAAGGUAGAAAAACAACACGAGAGACAGAAAACAUCUUGUUCCAAGCAUUGAGAAGCCCUUGGUCUUGUUACAGCUUUAUAAUAAUUAUAACAAUAAAUCAGUCAAUAGAAUAGCAACAGAUUCGUCUUCAUAUGCUGUACAUCUUUGGGCCUGUAAAAGAGAGAGUUUAAAGCUCCUGCGAAAGGCCCGAGUUUUCUCUUUUGUUCUCCAACUGGGGUGAAAGUGGGAGUCUGUAAUAAAAAUAUGAGGUGACAGGGACAUAUUGGGCACAAUGGUGUGUAUGGGAAGUGAAACAUAUUAGCAAGGGAAGAUGCUCCUGGAUGGAGGGAAAGCCGGGAUCCUGGGAAAGAGGUGAGAUGGGAAGAACGAUCAAGAGAAUUGAGCUGAAAGUGAGGAGUGGAAAUCACAAAGACAAACCAGAGAGCCUAGGGCACCGGGCCGUCUAGCUGGUCACCUGAAGGGAAUUCUGUAGGAAUUAAAGGUGCAUCAUUGGGAAAAGGUUAACAAAAGUAUUGCAUUUAUAUCAUCUUUUAGAUUCUAUGUGUAAGAACAACCACAUCACAUGAAUUUCUUUCUGGUCAGAAACCUCCUCGAGGCUGUCAUACCUAAGAGCGUCUAUAUAAAAAGAUGCCAGAUUGCCUUCUGGUCGCAAUAUUUGCCCAUCACUGAGUUUCAGAGUUAAACUGGCAGAUUCUGUCCACUAGAGGAUGUCACCCUUACUCCAGAAACCAUGGUUAUCUCCAGAGACUUUCCAUAAGUCAAUGUCUGAUGUUUCCAGAGAGAGGUAAUCAAAUCUAACCCAAAACCUAUCAUUGAGUUUGUAUUAAG